rnacentral:rRNA from 1 species
GACGAACGCUGGCGGCGUGCUUAACACAUGCAAGUCGAACGGUGAAGGGACCGGUUUUUGCUGGUUCUGGAUGAGUGGCGAACGGGUGAGUAACACGUGAGUAACCUGCCCCCUUCUUCUGGAUAACCGCAUGAAAGUGUGGCUAAUACGGGAUAUUCUGCGCCUGCUGCAUGGUGGGUGUGGGAAAGAUAUUGUUUCGGUGGGGGAUGGGCUCGCGGCCUAUCAGCUUGUUGGUGGGGUGAUGGCCUACCAAGGCGGUGACGGGUAGCCGGCCUGAGAGGGUGGACGGUCACACUGGGACUGGGACACGGACCAGACUCCUAAGGGAGGCAGCAGUGGGGAAUAUGGCACAAUGGGCGCAAGCCUGAUGCAGCGACGCCGCGUGAGGGAUGGAGGCCUUCGGGUUGUAAACCUCUUUCGCCAGUGAAGCAGGCCUGUCCCUUUUGUGGGUGGGUUGACGGUAGCUGGAGAAGAAGCGCCGGCUAACUACGUG